AUUGAACGCUGGCGGCAGGCCUAACACAUGCAAGUCGAGCGGAGCGGCGGACGGGUGAGUAAUGCCUAGGAAUCUGCCUGGUAGUGGGGGAUAACGUCCGGAAACGGGCGCUAAUACCGCAUACUAUCAGAUGAGCCUAGGUCGGAUUAGCUAGUUGGGGGGGUGAAGGCCUACCAAGGGGACGAUCCGUAACUGGUCUGAGAGGAUGAUCAGUCAACGUGGACCGGAGACACAGUCCAGACUCCUACGUGAGGCAGCAGUGGUGAAUAUUGGACAAUUGGCGAAGGCCUGAUCCGGCCAGGCCGCGUGUGUGAAGAAGGUCUUCGGAUUGUAAAGCACUUUAAGUUGGGAGGCGUUACCAACAGAAUAAGCACCGGCUAACUUCGUGCCAGCAGCCGCGGUAAUUC
rnacentral:rRNA from 1 species